CUGCACCCGUGGCAAGACCGUGUGUCCUGUAUGAGUGGGUGACCGGGGCCUUUGCCAGCAGCGGAGUUUUUGAGUAGACAGAGGAACCCAUUUCCUUUGGAAUCCAGAGUGCUGAUAAAGACAUACCUGAGACUGCACAGUUUACAGAAAAAAGAAAGGUUUAAUGGACUUACAGUUCCACGUGCCUGUGGAGGCCUCACAAUCACGGUAGAAGGCAAGGAGGAGCAAGUCACGUGUUGCAUCAGGCAAACAGAGCUGUGCUAGGAAACUCUCCCUUAUAAAACCACAUCUCAGGAGAGUUAUUCCCUGUCACAAAGAAGAGAACAGGAAAGACCCGCCCCUGUGAUUCAGUUAUCUCCCACUGGGUCCCUCCCAUGAUACUUGGGAAUUCAACAUGAGAUAUGGUUUGGUUGUGUCCCCACCCAAAUCACCAACCCAACAAGGAUAAUACAGGUGGAACAUAGAUGCCACAUUGAUCUACUGAUAAUUAUAAACAAUUACCAAGAAGAGAGGAUACAUCUUCAUUUCUGAAUCCA
rnacentral:sRNA from 1 species